rnacentral:lncRNA from 1 species
UGCCUCCUUCCCUCUGGUGCUGAGGAGGCUGGGCCCCGGGCCUGGGCGGCUGUGUGCUGCCCAUGACUCUCUGCCCCUCUUCCCCGGAAGGGGUUUCCUGAGGGUGGAAGUGGGCCCGAAGGUCUGCAGGGUGUGCAUUGUUUGUCUGCACCUGGAGGGUGAGCUCAUGUCAGCAACCAGGCAGGGGGAGGGCCUGAGCAGUAGCCUCCCCCGGCUCCCUCCCCUGCAUCUUUCCCUCCUUUUCCUGGGAACAGGUCCCUUUCCUGAGUCCUGGGUGGACAGUCAGGAGGCCAGGGACCCAGUGAGGCCAGGGAGAUCCCUCUGUUUCUGAAAAUGAGGGUUGAGUUAGAGCAGGGCUUCCCUAAGUGUGGUCUGUCGACCAUUCGUCCUACAGGACACUCUUCAAGAAAAGGGGGAAAAAGCUGAUGAUCUCUUCCACUCCUGAGUGUUCCCAGGGCACGCUGGCACCCCAAAGGCUCUGAGACGGCCUGAGAUGAACAAACAGGUUAGCCGGUGUCUCUCACUUAGCCUUGCUCAAACUCCUGUCCUCAUAGCAUUCUGUUGAGAACGUGCUGGAAAUGAUGGGCUAGAUCAGCUCCAAGCUCCUGCCUCACCUUGACUCCAAAGUGUGAGCAACUGGAGCCAAAGGUCUAUGGUUGACAUUUGUCAUGUACCCCAAGCUUCCUCUUUGUUUUGAGGGAAUUGCAUGUGUCUUGCAAGGAAGCUGAGCCCCAUCUUUUACUGCAGAGGUCUCCCUUUGUGAGGUAUCACCCCUCCUCCUUUCUGGCAGCUUGGGCGGGGCCCACAUGAUCUAGGCUCAGAGCCUUGAACCCAGAGAGAAUGACCCAGAGAUGGGGGCAGUCGCAGGUUCAUUCAGAGAGGCCGAGCCUGCAGGUGGCAGGAACAGGCACCUGUAGCACCUUCUGCACGAAUCUUCUGACCACGGUGUCACCUCAGCUGGAGUCCCAGCUGCUGAGCCUCCCUGGAUCCCUGGGGGGUCUCUAAGCCUUAUUAAAAUGUUAUUUGAUUGAAGUGUAGUUGAUUUACAAUGUUGUGGUAAUUUCUCCUGUAUAGCAAAGUGAUUCAGUUAUACAUAAUACAUAUAUAUGUGUUAUGCAUAUUCAUCUUCUUUUCCAUUAUGAUUUAUCACAGGAUAUUAAAUAUAAUUCUCUGUGCUAUACAGUAGGACUUUGUUGUUUAUCCAUCCUAUAUAUACUAGUUUACAUCUGCUAACCCCAAACUCCAAUCCAUCCUUCUCUUGUCACCCUCCCCCCUGGCAUCCACAAGUCUGUUCUUUAUGUCUGUGAGUCUGUUCUGUUUUGUAGGUAGGUUCAUUUGUGCUAUAUAUUUUUUGUGUGUGUGCUUUUUAGGGCUGCACCCAUGGUAUAUGGAUGUUUCCAGACUAAGGGGUCCAAUCGGAGCUACAGCUGCUGGCCUACGCCAUAGCAAUAGCAAUGCCACAUCUCAGCCGCAUCUGCGACCUAUACCAGAGCUCAUGGCAAUGCCGGAUCCUCAACACACUGAUCAAGGCCAGGGAUCGAACCUGCAUCCUUAUGGAUCCUAGUCAGGUUCAUUAACCAUGGAGCCAUGAUGGGAACUCCUCAUUUGUGCCAUGUUUUAGGCUCUACGUAUAAGUGAUGUCAUAUGAUAUUUGUCUUUCUCUUUCUGACUGACUUCACUUAGUCUGAGAAUCUCUAGGUCCAUCCAUGUUGCUGCAAAUGGCAUUAUUUUAUUCCUUUUUAUGGCUGAGUACUAUUCCACUGUAUAUAUGUACCACAUUGUCUUUAUCUACUCCUCUCUCAAUGGACAUUUAGGUUGCUUCCGUGUCUUGGCUGUUGUAAAUAGUUGAGCCUCAUUUUUCAGUCUUCCUAUGGCUACUCUACAUCCCUCCAAUAAUUUUUUCCAUGUAUGUUUGCCAGAGUUGUUACUAUUACUUACAACCAAGUAUCCUGACUGGGCACAUAGUAGCUGCUGAGUAAAUAUUGGUUGAAUGAAUUUACACAACCAGUUUCUGUCCCAUAUUUGAAUUCACUUUCCUGUUUGCAGCAAUCCCAUCCAGUUAAUUCUGUCUGGUCCCACAGCUAGGAGUACAGAUCCUCCCUGGGGUGCAGCAGGAAUCCAGAGAUGGGUUAGACUCAGUCUUUGUCUAUGAGCAGCCAUUUGUCUGCUGUGGGAGACUGCACAGAGGGCCUGACACAGUGCUGAGGGGGACACGGGAGAGCCCUGCUGGCUGAGGAGAAGACUUCCUGGACAAGGGGCCGCCAGGCUGGGUCUCAAGGAAUGGGAUGUGAGGGAAGACAACGCCGGCUAAGAGGGCAGCACAGGCCAAGAGGCGUGGGCGAGCCAGGAGCAUGUGGACCUGGAGUGAGGAGAGCAGCAGGUGAGGCCCCAAAGUCCACACUGCAGAGACUAGCUUUGAUUCUGUUUGCUGUGGAAGUUGUGGCAUUUUGAUUGGGGGAGGGACAUGAGAACAGCAACUGAAGGGCAGUUUGGUGACAUAGGAAACACCUGGGUCGGGGUCCAACAACCAGAUGUUGCCAUAUCGAGCUGUGGCUUAAGCAAGUCACUUGAGCUUUCUGAGCCUCCGUUUCCUCAUCUGUAAAAAUGGGUACAGUAAAAGCCACUAGAGCUGUUGGAAGGAUUUGAGAUAUUUUAUUUUAUUUUAAUUUUUAGGGCUGAACCCAAGGCACAUGGAAGUUCCCAGGCUAAGGGUCUGAUUGGAGCUGCAGCUGCCGGCCUACACCAGAGCCACAGCAACGCAGGAUCUGAGCUGCAUCUGCGACCUACACCAUAGCUCAUGGCAACGCCAGAUCCCCAGCCCACUUAGCGAGGUCAGGGAUCGAAUCGGCAUCCUCAUGGAUACUAGUUGUUUUCUUAACCCGCUAAGCCACGAUGGGAACUCCUGAGAUAUUAUAGGAUACAAAGUAGUUGGUAUGUAAUGGGUACCCAAUAAAGGAUAAUACUAUUGGAUCCCUGUGCUAGAAAAACGAGCCCCUUCAUGAGGUGAACUCCUUAGGAGUAAGGAUUGUGCCUUUUAUCUCAUCAUCAUUAGAACGAUUCCAGGGACAGAGUAGCUGUGAGAUGACAUUUUUUGAAUGGAAGAUGGAUGGGCGGCGUGUGUAGCCGGUGUGGAGGAAGGAACGGAGGCUGUCUCAUGGAUUCAGGCCAGAGAUGUGGGGCCAGAGCAGGAGAGUGAUGUGUGACUCUGAGGAAAUCUUUAUGACUUGGCAACGCUUUCCAUGUUGGGAAUGAGGAAGAGUGAGACUUGAGAGAGCCAAGAGGUUCUUGCCCUGUGCACAUGGAGGGGGAGAAAAGCAGCGUUAUUAUCUUGGAUGUGCUGACCUUGACGUGGUUGGGAGAUGGUGUGACCGUGCUGAUGGGCCUCGGGGAGAGAUUGAGCUACUUGUGUGUGGAUCUAGGGGUUUGUCCCAAGGGUUAGAGGAGAUGGAGAGAGAUUUUAGCUCCAAACGUGGAACGAUUUUGGAAACAGGCUGCCUUUGAAGGUCAUCAGAUUCCUGUGGACGGAGUAGCACGAGCAGAAGCUGGUCAGCCGUUGCAGGAAAGCUGGAGCACAGUGGUCCAGUGCCUGCCCACUUGGCUGCUACAUCAGUCUGCUUUUCCUGCAAAAUAAAACCGUAAAACCUCAGGGGGACACAACAAUAAGCAUUUAGGGCCUACAGGUCUGCAGUAAACUGGAGGUUGGCUGGGCAACUCUACUGAUCCCCGGUGGACUCACCCACAGAGGUGGGGGUUGUUUGGGGGUUGCUAGACUGAGGUGACUGGCGUGGCUGGGCUCUGCUCCUCGUGUCUCUCAUCCACCCCCAGGCUAGCCCAGGCAUGUUCUCUUGGCUGUGGCAGAGAUGCAAGAGAGCAGGUGCAAGGAUGCCAGGCUGCCGGGGGUCUAGGUUCAGAACCAGCACUGGGGUCACUCUACCGCAUUUUGUUGGCUAAAGCAGACCGCAGGGCCGGCGCAGAUUCAAGAGGUGGGAGAGGAGAAUUCAUUUCUUCUGUGAGAGAAACUACAAAGCCGUGUGACAAGGCUGUGGGUUCGGAAGGGGAAGAAUAAGUGUCAUUAAUGCAACACAAAAUGCUUAGCGGUUAGACCAGCCUUUUUUGAUCUGAAUUCUAUGCACACCUAAAUUCUGAACAUUUUCCUCAGGGAUCCCUGAAAGCCUUGGGGAGUCUGAGUGGCUUGGAACUUCUCUGGAUUGUUAUAAAAGCCUCUUAACAUCGUAUCAAUGAUGUAUUAUUAAUAAUGUAUUAUUAUUUUUUAAAAUUUAAUUUUAUUGGAGUAGAGUCGACUUACAUGCUGUAUUAGUUUCAGAUGUACAACAAAGUGAAUUAGUCACACAUAUAAAUAUAUCCAUUCUUUUUUCCCAUGUAGGUUACUACAAAUGAUCAAGUAGAUUUAAUCAUGUAUUAAGUUGGUAUUAAUACCGGUAAAUGCUAUUGAGGGCUCACUAUGCAUUGGUUAUUUUCGUUCCCUGUUAAAUCCCUGUGAGAAACUUUGAGAUGGGUAUUGCUACUUUUGCCAUUCUGUUGGUGAAAUGACCCUGCACCUUAGAGAGAUUAAGAAUCAGACUGUCACGGGAGUUCCCUAUGUGGCACAGCUGAAACGAAUCCGACUAGUAUCCAUGAGGAGGUGAGUUUUAUCCCUGGCCUCACUCAGUGGGUUGGGGAUCCUGCAUUGUCAUGAGCUGUGGUGUAGGUCUCAGAUCCCAAGUUGCUGUAGCUGUGGAGUAGUUGUAGCUAAUAGUCCUGAUUCGACUCCUAGCCUGGGAAUUUCCAUAUGCCAAGGGUGCAGCCCUAAAAAGCCCCCCACCCCCAAAAAAAAGAAAAAA